AUGGUGGCGAUCGAGGGCCAGAGCCUGGCGGGGACGGCGGCGGCGGCGGCGGGGGGGCUCCCGAAGGAGGCGCGGGGGCUGCUGCACGAGCUGGCGGCGGAGUGGGCGGACGUGGCCGACUGCCGCGCGCUAGAGGUGGUGCCGCUCAAGGGCGCCAUGACCAACGAGGUGUACCAGGUGCGCUGGCUCACCGGCGGCGGCGGCGAGGGGGAGGGCGAGUACAGGAAGGUGCUGAUGCGGGUGUACGGGGAGGGCGUGGAGGUCUUCUUCGACCGGGAGGACGAGGUGCGCACGUUCGAGUGCAUGUCCCGCCACGGCCACGGCCCGCGCCUCCUCGGCCGUUUCCCCACCGGCCGCGUCGAGGAGUUCAUCCACGCCAGGACACUUUCAGCUGUUGACCUGCGUGAUCCAGAGAUUUCAGCUAUUAUAGCAUCCAAAUUGAGGGAGUUCCACCACCUUGACAUGCCAGGUCCAAAACGUGUCCUCAUGUGGGAUAGAUUGAGGAACUGGCUCAAAACUGCCAAGAGCGUCUGCCCCUCUGACGAAGCCAAAGAGUUCCGUUUGGAUAGCCUGGAGAAGGAGAUCGCUGCAUUGGAGAGUGAAUUUUCGGGGGAAGAACAGUGCAUAGGAUUUUGCCACAAUGAUCUCCAGUAUGGCAAUAUCAUGAUUGAUGAAGAGACCAAAGCACUGACCAUCAUUGACUACGAGUAUGCAAGCUUUAACCCAAUUGCUUUUGAUAUCGCAAACCAUUUCUGCGAGAUGGCUGCGGACUACCAUUCAGAAGAGCCUCAUAUACUGGACUAUACAAAAUAUGCAGAUGUCGAUGAGCGGAAGAGGUUUGUGCAGACCUACCUGAGCUCUUCAGGUGAGGAGCCUGACGCAGAAAAGAUCAAGGAUCUGAUGAAUAACAUUGAGAAGUACACACUCGCCAGCCAUCUCGUCUGGGGCCUCUGGGGAAUAAUUUCGGAACACGUCAACGAUAUCGACUUCGAUUACAUGGAGUAUGCGCGGCAGAGGCUUGCGCAAUACUGGCUGAAGAAACCCGAGAUCCUAUCCUGCCGUGUCGAUGAUGAAUGA
rnacentral:rRNA from 1 species